UACAGAGGUGGCAAGCGUUGUUCGGAAUUACUGGGCGUAAAGGGCGAGUAGGUGGCCAUCUAAGUCAGACGUGAAAUCCCCCGGCUUAACCUGGGAACUGCGUCUGAUACUGGACGGCUAGAGUUUGGGAGAGGGAUGCAGAAUUCCAGGUGUAGCGGUGAAAUGCGUAGAUAUCUGGAGGAAUACCGGUGGCGAAGGCGGCAUCCUGGACCAACACUGACACUGAAGCACGAAAGCGUGGGGAGCAAACAGG
rnacentral:rRNA from 1 species